GGCUGAAACUCGCCUACAUGAAGCUGGAGUUGCUAGUAAUCGCGAAUCAGCAUGUCGCGGUGAAUACGUUCCCGGGCCUUGUACACACCGCCCGUCACACCAUGAGAGUUGGCAAUACCCAACGUACGUGAUCUAACCCGCAAGGGAGGAAGCGUCCUAAGGUAGGGUCAGCGAUUGGGGUGAAGUCGUAACAAGGUAUC
rnacentral:rRNA from 1 species